AAAAAAAAAAAAAGAAAAUCGCAGCCUGACUCGAAGCGAAGCGAGACGCGGCUCCUGGCAGAGAGCGCUGAGGGAGGUUUGUUGCUGGCUGUGCGGAGUCUUUCUGAAGGAGGAAUUUGGGUGAUACCAAACGCAGCUGAACACACGGAUGCAGGGACUGAGUUACCGCUCAGCCGAGAUGUGAAGACACUCCAUUAAGGAAUUUGAAGUUUUAAACAGGUAAAAAUACAUUUCAAGUCACAAGGCUGCAACUCCCCCCCCACGGCAUCAUUCAUCUGCAGUCAGUAACUCCUGCCCUUGCUCAGCCCCAGGGAACUGGAUCCCACAGACUGCAAAAAAGGCUUCUGAGG